GACACACCUUAUCAACAUUUACUUGAUUCAUGAGAAAGAGAAUCAUAUCUUCUUUUGCAUGUGGGAAUGACAAACCCUAAUUGAUAACCAAGCUCCACCGUUUGCAGGGCUUCAAGGUUAGUGUCGACCAAUCUUUCAGGCCAAAGAAUACAACCCUCGAGAGACCUACUAAUUAUUAUACACUUUUUUUUUUCUUUAAAUGACUCUUAUUAGAACUCGCGACCCUAAUACUAUUGAGUUAAAGCUUAUACUAUAUUAUUUUUAAUUAAGGUUCAAUUUACUUCAAUCCUAUAUAUGCAGGAUACAAAUACAGAGUACAUGAAUAAUUACGUUUAAAUUUAAAUCCCACUAGAGUUCUUGAGCAGCUACGAGCACUACUCUCCCGUAUUGCAUGGCAUGCACUAUGAGAUUUGAGGGGCGAAUUAAUUCUGUUCUCCAUAAUACCAGUCCAAUAGAUCCCAUUCCCACGAAGGUUGGCAAUCUAUGGGCAUUGGGAUGCUGCUACUAUCUCCUGUUUGAGGUGGAAUUGCAGCAUGGUCUUCUGAGGAUGAACGGAUCUCAGGUGAGUUUGAUAUCUCCGCCAUUGGAGGGUUUCGAUGAGAUGCUGUUGCCACAUCUCCUUGAAUAGCAGCUGAUUGAUGAGCUCUCAUCUCGCUGAUCUCAACUACCAAACCCAAUGGACGUCUAUCAAAUGCGCGCAAGCUUUUUGAUUUCUUGUACACCCGACACAGGCUGAAUUCAUGCCUCAACGUUAGUGUUGCAACAGUGGAUGAGGAAGAAGACGAUUCUCCUUGAAUAGCUUUGUACUCGUUCAUUUUCCAAUCGGUUUUGCGUCCAUUAGGAGCCCUUCCUCUAUAGAAAACCAUAGUUCUUUUCACGCCGAUGCUGCGAUUGUUAGAAUAAACAUGACCAGGAGAUCCCGUAGCUUUCCAGUAUCCCGCAGUUGUAAGCCUCUUUGGUCUUCCUCCUCGAGCUUCGCUCUCUUGCCUUGGAAUGAAGAAAAACCAUUGCUCUGGGUCUCUAUUCGAUAGAUCUCCAGCAUAUUGUGGGAGUUGCCAGGGAUUGAACUCAUAUAUAUCAAGAACUGGUAUAAUUCUGUCCAUGACUAGGUUGAGGUCAGGCCUCCUGCCUUCAAGCUUGUUAUGGAGAUAGAAUGAGACAAGCUCUUCUUCUGUAGGGUAGAAGCGAAAACCAGGUGGCAAAUCCCCCAUUUUAGUGGGAUGCAAUUAUAUGUAACACUCAAGGAGGGUGCGCAUAUAUAAAUAUAUAUUAUAAAGGGAGUUCUUGAAUAUGGAUCAAGAAAUUAUUAGCAGGCAAGAGAGCAGAAAGAGGGAGGAGGUCACGAGACGAGUGA
rnacentral:misc_RNA from 1 species